rnacentral:lncRNA from 1 species
AAUGAUAUAUAUUGUUUUAUUUAGAAUAUAUUUUAUAUUUAAACAUGUCACGUCAUCACAUUUUAACCUUGUUUGUCUUCUGUUAACGGCAGGGGCACGGGCGACCCAAAAUUGUAACGUUAAGGGUAUUUUUGGAAAAAAAUUAGUUUAGGGUGCAAGUGGAACAUCGGGAUAAAUAUCAGGAACUUUUUUGACUUUUUGCCUCUGAA